AGCGAACGCUGGCGGCAUGCUUAACACAUGCAAGUCGCACGGUCAGCAAUGGCAGUGGCGGACGGGUGAGUAACGCGUAGGGUAUCUAUCCUCGGGUGGGGGGACAACCACGGGGAAACUGUGGCUAAUACCGCAUGAUGACUGAGGUCUAAAGGCGCAAGUCGCCUGAGGAGGAGCCUGCGUCCGAUUAGCUAGUUGGUGGGGUAAAGGCCUACCAAGCCCUACGAUCAGUAGCUGGUCUGAGAGGAUGAUCAGCCACAUUGGGACUGAGACACGGCCCAAACUCCUACGGGAGGCAGCAGUGGGGAAUAUUGGACAAUGGGCGCAAGCCUGAUCCAGCAAUGCCGCGUGGGUGAAGAAGGUCUUCGGAUUGUAAAGCCCUUUUGGCGGGGACGAUGAUGACGGUACCCGCAGAAUAAGCUCCGGCUAACUUCGUG
rnacentral:rRNA from 1 species